AGAGUCGGUUUUUCCUUUUUCGCUACAAUCUCCCUCUCCUUUCUUUUCUGUCGUUUCCUUCCCUGCGUAAAUGCAAAGUCUCUCCCGACCGUUUCUCGUCUCUUUUUUACUUUCACCAGUAUGUCUCCGCUCUUCGAACGAACUUUUGUUUCUCCGCAUGCUCUAGUCAGGAGCUAGGAGAAAGAACGAAAGAAGAGAUC
rnacentral:ribozyme from 1 species